AAGUUGAUCCCUGAGGCCCUAACCACAGACCCAGGGUAUGCAGGUCGGGUGGAGAAUACUGAUGAAAAGAGUACAAGAUACAGAGGUACCUCCACCCUGAGAAUAACAGAUCUGAGAGAGGAGGACUCAGCUGAGUAUCGCUUCACUUUUAAAACAUCCAACUUUGAAUGGGGUCAUAGUUUCCCUGGAACAACUCUGACUGUCACAGUUCUUCAGGUGGAGGUGAGUCCUAAUGAGUGGUCAGAAAGGAAGACACUGACCUGUAGAACCACCUGUCCUCUGACUGGUAACCCCACCUACAUCUGGUACAAGAACGGACAACAGAUAAAUGAGAGCUCCUCCCCCCAGUACAAAGAUCCAGUGACCUGGAACUAUGAAGACAGUUACUCCUGUUCUGUUAAAGGUCAUGAGGAUCUCCUCUCUCCUACAGUGUGUGUUCAGGGUCAGGACUGCAACAGAGUGAAUUACAACCAGAGGACAAUCUGUGUCUUGAAGGGGUCAUCAGUAGACAUAUCCUG